rnacentral:rRNA from 1 species
GACGAACGCUGGCGGCGUGCUUAACACAUGCAAGUCGAACGGAAAGGCCCUGCUUUUGUGGGGUGCUCGAGUGGCGAACGGGUGAGUAACACGUGAGUAACCUGCCCUUGACUUUGGGAUAACUUCAGGAAACUGGGGCUAAUACCGGAUAGGAGCUCCUGCUGCAUGGUGGGGGUUGGAAAGUUUCGGCGGUUGGGGAUGGACUUGCGGCUUAUCAGCUUGUUGGUGGGGUAGUGGCUUACCAAGGCUUUGACGGGUAGCCGGCCUGAGAGGGUGACCGGCGACAUGGGGACUGAGAGACGGCCCAGACGCCUACGGGAGGCAGCAGUGGGGAAUAUUGCACAAUGGGCGGAAGCCUGAUGCAGCAACGCCGCGUGCGGGAUGACGGCCUUCGGGUUGUAAACCGCUUUCGCCUGUGACGAAGCGUGAGUGACGGUAAUGGGUAAAGAAGCACCGGCUAACUACGUG